rnacentral:lncRNA from 1 species
CAACGUGGAUCUCCACCUUCAAUAAAGACGCCAGAAAUUAUUCCACCCAAACCGAAAGAACUUGUUAUACCAAAGCCUGAAGAAUCACCUAAACCGGAACCACAAAACCCAUUAAGACCUGAAACACCAACAACUAAUGUACAACAACCUAUACCUGAGCAUGAGCCACCAAAACAUGAAUCUCCAAAACCGGAAAAUCGGACAAACAAACCUGAACAACCAAAACCAGAGACACCUAAACCACAACAACCUAAAUCUGAAGAAUCUCCUAAACCAGAACAACCAAAAAUUAAUCCACCAGAACAAAAAGAAUCACCAAAAAAUUCAGAGACUCCUGAACCAGUUUCACCACCAAAGGAAGAUCCAUAUAAUGCAUCUCCGGUUAAAAACCGUCGUCCGCCACCACCUCCACCACCCAAGGUAAAAGAAAUACAGGUACCACCACCUCAACCACCAAUGCCAUCUUCGCCACCACCUCCUGUUUAUUCUUCUCCUCCACCUCCAGCACCUGUUAAUUCUCCACCUCCGCCAGUUGCCUCUCCUCCGCCUCCAUCACCACCUCCACCAGUUAACUCUCCUCCUCCACCACCCAUUUUCUCUCCGCCACCACCAUCACCAGUAUACUCACCACCGCCUCCAAUUCAUUCCCCACCGCCUCCACCAAUUUUUUCACCACCACCAGCACAUAUAAUAAUCCAACCACCAAUCCAAGCUCCAACACCCGUUCAAGCCCCAUCAUCAGAAUCGGAUCAAUCACCUGUUUCCUCACCAAUUCAAAGUCCAACACCGAUUCAGUCCCCAACC